rnacentral:rRNA from 1 species
CACGUAGGGGCCAAGCGUUGUCCGGAUUUAUUGGGCGUAAAGAGCUCGUAGGCGGUUCGACAAGUCGGGUGUGAAAACUCCGGGCUCAACCCGGAGACGCCACCCGAUACUGUCGUGACUGGAGUCCGGUAGGGGAGUGGGGAAUUCCUGGUGUAGCGGUGAAAUGCGCAGAUAUCGAGGAGGAACACCAUAGGCGAAGGCAGCGACCCUGGGCCGGUACUGACGCUGGAGGAAGCGAAAGGCGUGGGGAGCAAACAGG